rnacentral:piRNA from 1 species
UGUCAAGAAGGAAGGCUUAACCCCC